AGCUUCCUGCAAUGGGCAAAGAACCACCUUAUCGGUGGUGGUGUUCUUAUACCAGCGAGUGCCAGAGCAGAGGGCAGUUCUUUCUUUGUCCAUCCUAGCUUGGUGCCUGGCUUGGUGGACAAAGCUGUUUUAUGCCUAGGACACAUAA